rnacentral:rRNA from 1 species
UACGUAGGGUCCGAGCGUUGUCCGGAGUUACUGGGCGUAAAGCGCGCGCAGGCGGUCAUGCGCGCCCGGCGUGAAAGCCCCCGGCUCAACCGGGGAGGGUCGUCGGGGACGGCAUGACUUGAGGGCGGUAGGGGCCGGUGGAAUCCCUGGUGUAGUGGUGAAAUGCGUAGAGAUCAGGGGGAACACCCGUGGCGAAGGCGGCCGGCUGGGCCGUCCCUGACGCUGAGGCGCGAAGGCGUGGGGAGCGAACAGG